rnacentral:rRNA from 1 species
UACGGAGGGGGCCAGCGUUGCUCGGAAUUAUUGGGCGUAAAGGGCGCGUAGGCGGUCUGGUAAGUUUGAUGUGAAAUCCCAUGGCUCAACCAUGGAACUGCAUCUCAUACUGCCGGACUUGAGUCUGGGAGAGGGAAGUGGAAUUCCCGGUGUAGCGGUGAAAUGCGUAGAUAUCUGGAGGAACACCGGUGGCGAAGGCGGCGUCCUGGACCAACACUGACACUGAGGAGCGAAAGCCAGGGGAGCAAACGGG